rnacentral:rRNA from 1 species
GAUGAACGCUGGCGGCGUGCCUAAUACAUGCAAGUCGAGCGAAUGGAUUAAGAGCUUGCUCUUAUGAAGUUAGCGGCGGACGGGUGAGUAACACGUGGGUAACCUGCCAUAAGACUGGGAUAACUCCGGGAAACCGGGGCUAAUACCGGAUAACAUUUUGAACCGCAUGGUUCGAAAUUGAAAGGCGGCUUCGGCUGUCACUUAUGGAUGGACCCGCGUCGCAUUAGCUAGUUGGUGAGGUAACGGCUCACCAAGGCAACGAUGCGUAGCCGACCUCGGAGGGGGAUCGGCCACACUGGGACUGAGACACGGCCCAGACUCCUACGGGAGGCAGCAGUAGGGAAUCUUCCGCAACGGACGAAAGUCUGACGGAGCAACGCCGCGCGAGUGAUGAAGGCUUUCGGGUCGUAAAACUCUGUUGUUAGGGAAGAACAAGUGCUAGUUGAAUAAGCUGGCACCUUGACGGUACCUAACCAGAAAGCCACGGCUAACUACGUGCCAGCCGCCGCAGUAA